rnacentral:rRNA from 1 species
AACGUAGGAGACAAACGUUAUCCGGAGUUACUGGGCGUAAAGGGCGUGUAGGCGGUAUGUUAAGUCUGGCGUGAAAGCUCUCGGCUAAACCGGGAGAGGUCGUUGGAUACUGGCAAACUAGAGGAUGGUAGAGGCGUGUGGAAUUCCGGGUGUAGUGGUGAAAUGCGUAGAGAUCCGGAGGAACACCAGUGGCGAAGGCGACACGCUGGGCCAUACCUGACGCUAAGGCGCGACAGCAUGGGGAGCAAACGGG